rnacentral:rRNA from 1 species
GGCGAACGCUGGCGGCGUGCUUAACACAUGCAAGUCGAACGGAAAGGCCCUGCUUUUGUGGGGUGCUCGAGUGGCGAACGGGUGAGUAACACGUGAGUAACCUGCCCUUGACUUUGGGAUAACUUCAGGAAACUGGGGCUAAUACCGGAUAGGAGCUCCUGCUGCAUGGUGGGGGUUGGAAAGUUUCGGCGGUUGGGAUGGACUCGCGGCUUAUCAGCUUGUUGGUGGGGUAGUGGCUUACCAAGGCUUUGACGGGUAGCCGGCCUGAGAGGGUGACCGGCCACAUUGGGACUGAGAUACGGCCCAGACUCCUACGGGAGGCAGCAGUGGGGAAUAUUGCACAAUGGGCGGAAGCCUGAUGCAGCAACGCCGCGUGCGGGAUGACGGCCUUCGGGUUGUAAACCGCUUUCGCCUGUGACGAAGCGUGAGUGACGGUAAUGGGUAAAGAAGCACCGGCUAACUACGUG